UACGUAGGGUCCGAGCGUUGUCCGGAGUUACUGGGCGUAAAGCGCGCGCAGGCGGCGGUGUUGGCCCGGCGUGAAAGCCCCCGGCUCAACCGGGGAGAGUCGUCGGGGACCGCACCGCUUGAGGGCGGUAGGGGCUGGUGGAAUGCCUGGUGUAGUGGUGAAAUGCGUAGAGAUCAGGCAGAACACCUGGGGCGAAGGCGGCCAGCUGGGCCGUCCCUGACGCUGAGGCGCGAAGGCGUGGGGGGCAAACAGG
rnacentral:rRNA from 1 species